rnacentral:lncRNA from 1 species
GACAAGGGGUGCUCCCAGGGAAGGCUUUUCAAGUCCCCACCUUUUCACUCCACACCACUCAUGCCCUGGCAUAUUCCUCUGCUCACCCUCACAGUGUGAGUGCAUCUCCAUCCAUGUGGGCCAGGCCGGAGUGCAGAUGGGCAAUGCCUGCUGGGAGCUGUACUGCCUGGAGCACGACAUCCAGCCCAGUGGCACCAUGCCCAGCCACAAGGCCCUGGGGAGCAGUGAUAACUCCUUCAACACCUUCUUCAGGGAGACCCAGCCUGGCAGGCAUGUGUCCUGGGCUGUCUGUGGACCUGGAGCCUGCUGUCAUAGCACAAUGAAGUCGCUGUAGAGGGAAGGGACCACUGAAGGUGCCACCUGCUCUCCCCGUCUCAAGCCCAGGCAGGACCUGGCCUUAGAAGUGGGUCUCUGGUCGGGAGGCUGAGGCAGGAGAAUCGCUUGAACCCGGGAGACAGAGGCUGUGGUGAGCCAAGAUCGCGUGAUUGCACUCCAGCCUGGGCAACAAGAGUGAAACUCUGUCUCAAAAAAAAAAAAAGAAAGAAAAGAAAAAGAAGAUGCCGUGCAUCAUCACUCUGUUGAGCAGUUGUACCUGGGGAGGCUUAGCAGCAAAG